AUGUUGGUUUUACUGGGAGAUUCUGGUGUUGGGAAAAGCUGCAUUGUUCUUCGCUUUGUCCGUGGUCAGUUUGACCCCACAUCAAAGGACUCCACAACAGUGAAGUUUGAAAUAUGGGACACUGCUGGCCAGGAGAGGUAUGCUGCAUUAGCACCUCUGUACUACAGGGGAGCUGGUGCUGCAAUCGUUGUCUAUGACAUAACAAGUGCAGAAUCAUUCAUCAAAGCACAAUAUUGGGUGAAGGAACUUCAGAAACACGGUAGCCAGGAUAUGAUCAUGGCUUUGGUAGGAAAUAAGGCUGACCUACAUGAAAAACGCACUGUGUCUUCUCAGGAAGCACAGGAGCACGCGGACAUGAACAAUAUGUUUUUCGUUGAGACAUCGGCGAAAACGGCUGAUAAUAUAAACCAACUAUUCGAGGAAAUUGCCAAGAGGCUGCCGAGGCCUACACCGCCAUCCUGA
rnacentral:rRNA from 1 species